rnacentral:rRNA from 2 species
AGAGUUUGAUCAUGGCUCAGAUUGAACGCUGGCGGCAGGCCUAACACAUGCAAGUCGAGCGGUAGCACAGAGAGCUUGCUCUCGGGUGACGAGCGGCGGACGGGUGAGUAAUGUCUGGGAAACUGCCUGAUGGAGGGGGAUAACUACUGGAAACGGUAGCUAAUACCGCAUAAUGUCGCAAGACCAAAGUGGGGGACCUUCGGGCCUCAUGCCAUCAGAUGUGCCCAGAUGGGAUUAGCUAGUAGGUGGGGUAACGGCUCACCUAGGCGACGAUCCCUAGCUGGUCUGAGAGGAUGACCAGCCACACUGGAACUGAGACACGGUCCAGACUCCUACGGGAGGCAGCAGUGGGGAAUAUUGCACAAUGGGCGCAAGCCUGAUGCAGCCAUGCCGCGUGUGUGAAGAAGGCCUUCGGGUUGUAAAGCACUUUCAGCGGGGAGGAAGGCGAUAAGGUUAAUAACCUCAUCGAUUGACGUUACCCGCAGAAGAAGCACCGGCUAACUCCGUGCCAGCAGCCGCGGUAAUACGGAGGGUGCAAGCGUUAAUCGGAAUUACUGGGCGUAAAGCGCACGCAGGCGGUCUGUCAAGUCGGAUGUGAAAUCCCCGGGCUCAACCUGGGAACUGCAUUCGAAACUGGCAGGCUAGAGUCUUGUAGAGGGGGGUAGAAUUCCAGGUGUAGCGGUGAAAUGCGUAGAGAUCUGGAGGAAUACCGGUGGCGAAGGCGGCCCCCUGGACAAAGACUGACGCUCAGGUGCGAAAGCGUGGGGAGCAAACAGGAUUAGAUACCCUGGUAGUCCACGCCGUAAACGAUGUCGAUUUGGAGGUUGUGCCCUUGAGGCGUGGCUUCCGGAGCUAACGCGUUAAAUCGACCGCCUGGGGAGUACGGCCGCAAGGUUAAAACUCAAAUGAAUUGACGGGGGCCCGCACAAGCGGUGGAGCAUGUGGUUUAAUUCGAUGCAACGCGAAGAACCUUACCUGGUCUUGACAUCCACAGAACUUUCCAGAGAUGGAUUGGUGCCUUCGGGAACUGUGAGACAGGUGCUGCAUGGCUGUCGUCAGCUCGUGUUGUGAAAUGUUGGGUUAAGUCCCGCAACGAGCGCAACCCUUAUCCUUUGUUGCCAGCGGUUCGGCCGGGAACUCAAAGGAGACUGCCAGUGAUAAACUGGAGGAAGGUGGGGAUGACGUCAAGUCAUCAUGGCCCUUACGACCAGGGCUACACACGUGCUACAAUGGCAUAUACAAAGAGAAGCGACCUCGCGAGAGCAAGCGGACCUCAUAAAGUAUGUCGUAGUCCGGAUUGGAGUCUGCAACUCGACUCCAUGAAGUCGGAAUCGCUAGUAAUCGUAGAUCAGAAUGCUACGGUGAAUACGUUCCCGGGCCUUGUACACACCGCCCGUCACACCAUGGGAGUGGGUUGCAAAAGAAGUAGGUAGCUUAACCUUCGGGAGGGCGCUUACCACUUUGUGAUUCAUGACUGGGGUGAAGUCGUAACAAGGUAACCGUAGGGGAACCUGCGGUUGGAUCACCU